GUGCCAGCAGCUGCGGUAAUACGGAGGGUGCAAGCGUUAAUCGGAAUUACUGGGCGUAAAGCGCACGCAGGCGGUCAAUUAAGUCAGAUGUGAAAGCCCCGAGCUUAACUUGGGAAUUGCAUCUGAAACUGGUUGGCUAGAGUCUUGUAGAGGGGGUAGAAUUCCAUGUGUAGCGGUGAAAUGCGUAGAGAUGUGGAGGAAUACCGGUGGCGAAGGCGGCCCCUGGACAAAGACUGACGCUCAGGUGCGAAAGCGUGGGAGCAAAC
rnacentral:rRNA from 1 species